ensembl:lncRNA
GAAACCUAAGGCUAUGAAAGAAUGCACCACGUCUGCCAACUUUCGGAUGGAAGCCAACUCCCGCAUUACGGCGUCCAGGUGCUCGACACUGACAGUGGGUGGACUCUGAAGGGGGGGGGGGGCUCAGGUUGAUAUACUACUACACCUCACCUGAAUGAGACAGAUACCCAGGAGAAGCUCGACACCACUCCGCUCUGACAGCUGACCUCAACAGGUUGAACAUCUGAAGAAACACCAGCAUCAUGUCGGAGGAGGUUAACAGAAACAAAGUGUUUAAAACUACCAGGGUGCGGACUUUACUGAAAAAGGAUGGCUGUUGGAUCCAGAGUCAGAAGUCAAACAAGGAGAAAGAAGGAGCAAGGAAAGGCCAUGAUGUGGAGACGUCCUCAGUCCCGCGGCAUACAUCCGUCCAGUCCUUAGCAAAGAAGUUUGAGCCGCAAGCACCCACAGAAGAAAUUAUCCAAAAUGACACCCAAUCAGAAGAAAGAUGUGCCAACAUGACUGCCGACGUCUCUGCAGAAGUUCAUGUUACAGAAGAAAUCCAAAAUGGUGAACCACAUGAAAUUCCUUCAACAAAGAGAAAUCCAGAAGCAGUUUCUCCCGUGCAACCAGCUGAGCAGGCAGUUGCCAACACAACUACAGAAAACAAGGGAGAACAAACUAAUAAAACAGUUGAGCAGUCAAACCAAGAACACAGUGAGGCCAAGGUCUCAGCCAAUGCCCAUGUGCAAGACCCUGAGGCAGAAACCUGUGUAGCUCCUGCAGUCAAACCUAAACCCAAAGAGGAACCUGCAACCAAAACAGAGCAGGACAUUGCAACACAAUUAGAACAUGCAGAAGUACAAUCAACUGUGCAGCUUGCAGAGGGAAAUUGUAUGAAAGGUCCUCCAAAACAGGGUGCAGGAGAAAUUGUAGAAGCUAAAGCUGAGGUUGCUGUGGCUCCAUCACCUGAGAUAAGUGACGUUGUUGAUGCAACACUUGUAAAAGUCGCUGAGAUUGUGACAAAGUCUCCAUUGAACACUAGCAACGCGUUGGAGACCACACCUGGAAACAAAGCCGCGCUAGAGAUCAGUGUGGAACCAGUGCCUGACUUAUUGGCAGAACCUGAAUCUGAGGGGCCCUCUCAACGCGUUACUGAAACUGCUCCAGCGGG